rnacentral:pre_miRNA from 10 species
GAAAGAUGCUAAACUAUUUUUGCGAUGUGUUCCUAAUAUGUAAUAUAAAUGUAUUGGGGACAUUUUGCAUUCAUAGUUUUGUAUCAAUAAU